AUUUAGGCAUGCAAGGCUAUAUAACACCAGGCCGCUUACCAUUUUCUGGCUCCACCUCGGUCUACCCCUUCUAGGUGUGUGUUGUGUCCAGAGAAACUCCCCAGGCAACCAGUCAGAUGUAUGGGCCUCUCUGGCACAACCACAUGGUCUAUUUUUGACACAGGUCUGGUUGUGAGCGUUCCCUAAUAUCUUCUUCAUGUUCGACCACAGGAGUUAUCGACUUGAGCCAUAUUGUUUGACUUCUUUGCCUCUUUCACGUGGCAAAGCUCAGAAGGUGGGUCCCUGGGAAAGUACCCGCUCCUUCAAAAGGUGACGGCUGGAGAGAGAGAGAUUUUCUCAAGAUGAUAUCGCAAAAGUAAUCCCUCGGCUCAAAUUUUCUUCUGUACAUUUUGGGAAGCACAGUGUAUCGUCGAGUAUGAAGCCUUUUAAAUGCCUAAUAUCCGAUACAUGAAAUACACCAAAGUGAUUAUUCACCAUACAGAGGAUACAGAUUGUUAUCACUACAGAGUACCUCUAUGUGGAACAUUUUGAAGCUGAAAUGAUUCCCCACAACAGGCGUCUGAAAACUUCACGAUCAUACCAUCUGGAGAGUUCUUUUGCAAAUUUGGCGCAGGGCUACAUCGACUUCACAGAUUCAGAAGCAACAGGAACAGGCACAUCGGGUCAUGAAAUAAGGGUGAGCAGAAGCAGGAGCAGGAGGCUGCCUUUGCAAAUGCAGACAACAGUAUUUCCUUCACAUGUCAUCUAUAGAGGUGCUCCAAUUGUAAAUGCAUCAACGUCUACUCCCAGGGCCUCCGACGAAAGCUUUGAAAGAAACAGAAGCCAGCUAAUCACGUCGACACAGAAGAUGUUUCAUUUCUACUGAGAAAAUAGACUAAGGGAGACAAAGUGGAGCACUGAAGCAAUCGAAGUGAGUGCUGAUAAGACAGAAGCCAGAACGCCCAGAGCAUUUUAGACACAUGACCCUGUGGGUGGAGCUAAGUGAUGAAGCCUCCCUAAUGAACGGGGCAGGUCUCUGCCAACGGCCCUGUUUCAACAACAAUUACAACUCAUUUUUGGAUUUGCAAGCACCGCUAUCCACCAAACCAAGCUAAUGACAAUUUUUUUUUUUAUAUUUUCCAAUAAUAAAGAUGGCUAUAUCUGUGAUUGCAUUCCACGGGUCAUGACAUUUGAAUGUCUGCAGUUGAAAGCUAAUGCUAAUGCUAACUCUUACACUCUCCUUGACAUGUCUCACAUGGCCUUUCCUCAAAACGUGGAUGAAAAUCUGUUUUAUUUCCUGAAGAGUAAUAUGACCAGCACGUGUGGAUCUAGAUGCCUUUCAGA
rnacentral:lncRNA from 1 species